ensembl:lncRNA
CUGGCUUCUGGUUUGAGCUUUUGCUUGGCUAAAUUCUGCUUUUAUCUGAUUCUUUUUCAGAAAAUGCUUAUAGGUGUCAUAAGUUUCUUUAUGUUUGAGAAGGUCUGACUGCUUUCUUCACCCUUGAAUGACAAAGUCACCAGGAAGAACAUCAUGGACUCGAAUUGCUCAAGAAAGUUUAAGACACGGUGAUGGACCGCAGCCCCAUAGAAGUAUUGGAAAUGACACUGCGGAAGGUCAAUGCGAGCCAGAGAGAGAUUGCAUGACUCCAAGAACUCCGGCAUCUCAGGACUCUGCAACGAUGAAGGUUGCUCUGCUGUGCCAACGUUUGCCAAGGAGAGAAGAGGAUUAGAGAUGAAAAUCUAAAGUCAUGAAGAUUUGGAGAGUUGGAUGAAUUACUGAGGUU